AGCGAACGCUGGCGGCAGGCUUAACACAUGCAAGUCGAGCGGGCAUCCUUGUGGUGUCAGCGGCAGACGGGUGAGUAACGCGUGGGAACGUGCCCUUCGGUUCGGAAUAACUCAGGGAAACUUGAGCUAAUACCGGAUACGUGCGAGAGCAGAAAGGUUUAUCUGCCGAAGGAUCGGCCCGCGUCUGAUUAGCUAGUUGGUGAGGUUACGGCUCACCAAGGCGACGAUCAGUAGCUGGUCUGAGAGGAUGAUCAGCCACACUGGGACUGAGACACGGCCCAGACUCCUACGGAGGCAGCAGUGGGGAAUAUUGGACAAUGGGGGCAACCCUGAUCCAGCCAUGCCGCGUGAGUGAUGACGGCCUUAGGGUUGUAAAGCUCUUUUCUCCGGGACGAUAAUGACGGUACCGGAGGAAUAAGCCCCGGCUAACUUCGUG
rnacentral:rRNA from 1 species